AUGCACUAGAUACUAACCUGACUGUCAGCUGCCCAGGAUCGUUUUGUACUGGUGCACUUCAGUGGCUGUCAGGUCCAGAAUGGUGCUAUAGAGACAUAAGCCCCUGAGAUUUAAGCUCUGAGUGGGAGAUCAUUUACUCAGGUGUUAUGACUCAGGGACACAU